UUAGAAUUUUUUUUGUAUUUAUUUAAUCCUUGAAAACAAUAGAAAUAAUUAUUUUUAUGAUGUAUAAGGGUUUGAUAUAUGUAAUUUUUAGAGAGGGAUAAAAUAUAUUUGCCCAGUCAUUUGGUGUAAACUCACAUGCUAGUAAAAUGUAUUGAAUCUUACUUUAAAAAAGUACAGAAACACAUUUGUGGAGAAACCAAAGGUAAACACAUAAACCAGUAGUUUCCUCUGGUGCACAAACCAAAAUACACCAGAAAGAGUUAUUGCCCUUUGUAACACUCUCUUGUAUUGGAGAUAUGAAUAGCCUUCAUUUGUUUUCAGUAUGGCAGGAGGUGGAAAUUGAGUUUUUAUUCAAUUUGUUCUUCAGAAGUUUAUCAAUAUCAGAUGCUCUUUGUUCACUUAAUUCACUACCACGAUCUUUAUCUUCAAUUGUGCUGAAGGAUUCCGGUUUAUUUCAUGGAAUACAAAUCCGUUUGAUAUUUGCCAUAGUCACCGGACUCUAGCAUCCAAUCGUCUACGUAAUUCGUAGAAAAAGUAAAUGUUGUGGAAUUUAACGCUUUAUUGCAUCACAUCCGACUAAAAAAAUGACCAGGGAAACAGAAGGCUGACAGACAUAUUCAUAGAAAAUAUGAAAAAGCCCUGCCUGUUGCCGUGUUGGAACUUGUAUUGACCUGUAUGAGCAUCAUACUGUGCAAAUCACCUAAAGAUGGAGUUGACCAAGUUGCUGACUUUGAGGAGAACUUGAAGAGCAGAAGAUGCAUUCCAUGACUCUUAUGUGAUAUAGAAAACAAAGAAGAGCUCUUGAGAAUGGAAAAAAAAAACUGCGAGUUUUACAGUCAAUGAACACACCUCACGACACAAGUCCAUCCUGAUUCAGUAAACUAUUCUUCUAAGGAAACACCAUGACUUAGUUAAGAUCAAGUUUUGGUG